GCCGCGCGACGUCACAAAGCCCCGCCGCGCCGCCAUUGGCUGCCGCGCCCGCGGGGCGGGGCCGGCGACAAGGGGGUUUAGGAAGAUGCAGGGGGAAGAAACAGGAGCCGGCGGCGGGAGAAGAGAAGGGCAGGGUCGGGCCUUGGUGUUGUGGGCCGGAUCCUUCCUGGGAGUAAACCCAGGUCCCGGCAGGGUUGGACCAGACCUCCUGAGGGCCCUUCUUACCCUCGUUUCUGGGAGGAGAAGUUUCUGAAGCCAACCCCGGUUGGUCUGGCCUGCGGAGCUGGAAGGAAAAGAAGGAAAAAAAGUCCUCAAGAAAGAAAGUAGCCCCCAUCCCCUGCCCCGCAGCAGUCCAGCCACUUCCAUCCUCCCAGACCUUAGACUUACACCAGCGUCACCAAGCCUGAGGCCUUCGGGUGGUCCCCAUCCUAGGAGAUGAAGCGGCUGUAAGGAGAUCCCCGUGGCCAGCAGACUGGGCUUCCAUAGGAGAAACUAAAGAAUCCAAUAAAGACACCAGCAUGCUUCAGAUGUGAACGAAGAGAUAAGGAGUCAUCACUGAGAGCCAAUAUAUCACUGAUCAGCCCAGCGUCCAACAAGAGGCAAUGAACAGCUCUUUAUCCUGGGCUAAGGUUCAGUGGAAAUUUUUCCUCUGGGGACAGAAAACAGGAAGUGGCCUUGCAGUAUUGGUCAUUAAUAAUCCCUGGUUGUCUUUGUUAAUUAAUUUACAGAAUUAAAUAUGGUGCUGGUCUCUGUGACACGUGAUAGUGUCACUGCCACUAAGAAAUUUU